rnacentral:rRNA from 1 species
AUUGAACGCUGGCGGCAGGCCUAACACAUGCAAGUCGAGCGGAUGAAGGGAGCUUGCUCCUGGAUUCAGCGGCGGACGGGUGAGUAAUGCCUAGGAAUCUGCCUGGUAGUGGGGGAUAACGUCCGGAAACGGGCGCUAAUACCGCAUACGUCCUGAGGGAGAAAGUGGGGGAUCUUCGGACCUCACGCUAUCAGAUGAGCCUAGGUCGGAUUAGCUAGUUGGUGGGGUAAAGGCCCACCAAGGCGACGAUCCGUAACUGGUCUGAGAGGAUGAUCAGUCACACUGGAACUGAGACACGGUCCAGACUCCUACGGGAGGCGGCAGUGGGGAAUAUUGGACAAUGGGCGAAAGCCUGAUCCAGCCAUGCCGCGUGUGUGAAGAAGGUCUUCGGAUUGUAAAGCACUUUAAGUUGGGAGGAAGGGCAGUAAGUUAAUACCUUGCUGUUUUGACGUUACCAACAGAAUAAGCACCGGCUAACUUCGUG